rnacentral:rRNA from 1 species
ACACUCCUACGGGAGGCAGCAGUGGGGAAUUUUGGACAAUGGGCGAAAGCCUGAUCCAGCAAUGCCGCGUGUGUGAAGAAGGCCUUCGGGUUGUAAAGCACUUUUGUCCGGAAAGAAAUCCUUGGCUCUAAUACAGUCGGGGGAUGACGGUACCGGAAGAAUAAGCACCGGCUAACUACGUGCCAGCAGCCGCGGUAAUACGUAGGGUGCGAGCGUUAAUCGGAAUUACUGGGCGUAACGCGUGCGCAGGCGGUUUGCUAAGACCGAUGUGAAAUCCCCGGGCUCAACCUGGGAACUGCAUUGGUGACUGGCAGGCUAGAGUAUGGCAGAGGGGGGUAGAAUUCCACGUGUAGCAGUGAAAUGCGUAGAGAUGUGGAGGAAUACCGAUGGCGAAGGCAGCCCCCUGGGCCAAUACUGACGCUCAUGCACGAAAGCGUGGGGAGCAAACAGGAUUAGAUACCCCUGUAGUCCCAUGA